rnacentral:rRNA from 1 species
AGAAUCAACGCUGGCGGCGUGCCUAACACAUGCAAGUCGAACGAGAAAGGGGUAGCAAUACCCUGAGUAAAGUGGCGCACGGGUGAGUAACACGUGACUAACCUACCCUGGAGUGGGGGAUAACUGAGGGAAACCUUAGCUAAUACCGCAUAAUACCUACGGGUCAAAGGAGCAAUUCGCUUUGGGAGGGGGUCGCGGCCGAUUAGUUAGUUGGCGGGGUAAUGGCCCACCAAGACGAUGAUCGGUAUCCGGCCUGAGAGGGCGCACGGACACACUGGAACUGAAACACGGUCCAGACUCCUACGGGAGGCAGCAGUGGGGAAUUUUGCGCAAUGGGGGAAACCCUGACGCAGCAACGCCGCGUGGAGGAUGAAGUACUUCGGUAGUAAACUCCUUUUCGAUCGGGACGAUUAUGACGGUACCGAGAGAAGAAGCCCGGCUAACUUCGCGCCAGCAGCCGC